AAAACCCGUAGGCUUUUCUUCUUUCGGUUCUUCCUUUUCUUUUCCCUUUCUUUGUUCCGGUUGUUCUUCCACCCAAACUUCUUCCCAUCGUUCCUCUACCCAAACUUCUUCAGGUUCUUCGACAUUCGACAGACGACAUUCGACGUUCUUCGGCUUCUUCCCAUUCUUUGACCAUCACAGACGACGUUAACGCAAAGCUUCGGCCAUCACAGACGACAUUCACACACAAACUUCGGCCCCGCAACUCCGUUCACAGGGAUAUCAAUCGACUUGCAGGCGCCACCACAGACGUCGUUCCCUUCCCUGAAGUCCAUAGGAAACUUUCGCGCAGUAGAGCCCCCACGAACGACCGCCCCAACUCUGCUCAAGGAAGUCACUACCAGAGUUUUGGCGCGAUCGUCCAUUUGUGAUAAUUCUCAAUAAUAAGCCGUUUCUUCUUAUCAUUUCUCAAAUUGCAAUUGGGCCUCAUAUUAACAAUAUAAUCAUAGCAUGUAUCAUAAAGAAUUAUAUUUAAUACAAAGGCACUAAUAUUAAUUUAAAUUGCAAUGCUUGUUUAUUCAUAGUUAAUUCCCAGAGAUGAUGAACUUAUGUUUUGAAACUAUUGUUCUACAGCCUAAUGAUCCAUCCAAGGAACACAAUUGCAUACCUGAUGAACAUUAUGUUCAGACUUUAUUGGCCCAUGGGAUCUCGCAUACUCCAAAGACCAUGAACGCUGUAAUUGGCAUCCUGUAGCAUACAAAUUUUCAGACGCUACGCUUGAUCUAAUACAAUCUAUAAAGGGUAUUGAUAAUAUAUAUUACGAAACUGAAUAUCGACGAGAAUGGUGUACUAGUAAUGGAAAACCAUCUAGAUGUUUUCUUCUUGCGAGGAAGUUCACCCGUCCAGCUGCCCUCCGCCUUCUUAAUAUUAAAAUUCCAAGGAGAGGCAUUGCAACUCAGAAUGCUGUGUUACGGACGUUGAAGCUUUUGUUUUUAGGCCUCUUUCUUCAAGU